CGCAUGGCACCGCAAAGCGGUCUGCAAAGGAGCCACUGCACUCGUGGAACUUUCCACAGCGCUCUGCAAAUAAUGCAAGAAUGCAUGGUAGUCCUGAGUGUUCUGCAAGGGAGCCACUGCAGCAGAGCUUUCCACGGCGUCCUGAAUAUGAUGACAACGCUCAGAGUGACUUGCCAGGCUUAUGGCCGUGCGUUAGUCGAAUGGCGACACCAAGCUCAGG
rnacentral:lncRNA from 1 species